AAUUAAGUCUUACAAACUUAUGAGAAUUCUCAAUUAAGUCUUAGUUUUGCAUAAAAGAAGGACGCAAAGUAUCUUUCAGCCAACAAGUUCCAUACCACAUACCUUGAGAAGUUCAAAGAAUACUAUGUUUCUGGCCUACCCUUUUUGCAUUGCCAUGAAAGAAUACAUUAUAUCUUCUUCAUUCGCCUUGGAUGUAUGUGAUCUUGCUCUAUCGUCACAUCCGGCAUAGACAUUGCUGGUUCAUGAGUUUUUAUUUCUACCACAAGUUCUCCGCUUAGUUCUUCUGCAUCGGCCACAUCCGGCAUACUAGCCUUCUUCCUAUAUGUUCAUAGCAUGUCUCUGAAAAAAGAGAUGUUUCAUGUCCUCUUCAUUCUUCAAUACUUCUGCAAUAAUAAUUUUGUUUCUAUCAAUCAUAAUGACAUAAUGGAACAGACUAUGUGCAAACGUGUGUCCAUCAGUUCAUCAACAUAUGUACCGCACUAGAAUGGAUAGCAAUUAGAAUCCCUAAAUCAAAAGAUGGGGAAUGGGCAGUACCUCAGAUCGAAAAUUUGUACAGUGGCAAAUUGCAGAUUAGUCUGGCGGCUCUGGAUUGCAGGGGUACCAGCCACCGCCCGCCAGGCAAUGGGGCACUGCCGGCUACUGGCUUGCCGCACCUGGGCAGGGGCACAGACACGCAGGGCGGUGGUAACCGCAGAUGCACGGAGACUCCGAGCGCUGGGCGGGGCAAACAGAG
rnacentral:lncRNA from 1 species